GAGUUGCGGCUGGGCGGGCGUGCCUAUACAUGCAGUCGAGCGACUGAUUAGAAGCUUGCUUCUAUCGACGUUAGCGGCGGACGGGUGAGUAACACGUGGGCAACCUGCCUGUAAGACUGGGAUAACUCCGGGAAACCGGAGCUAAUACCGGAUAACAUUUUCUCUUGCAUAAGAGAAAAUUGAAAGAUGGUUUCGGCUAUCACUUACAGAUGGGCCCGCGGUGCAUUAGCUAGUUGGUGAGGUAACGGCUCACCAAGGCAACGAUGCAUAGCCGACCUGAGAGGGUGAUCGGCCACACUGGGACUGAGACACGGCCCAGACUCCUACGGGAGGCAGCAGUAGGGAAUCUUCCGCAAUGGACGAAAGUCUGACGGAGCAACGCCGCGUGAGUGAUGAAGGCUUUCGGGUCGUAAAACUCUGUUGUUAGGGAAGAACAAGUACAAGAGUAACUGCUUGUACCUUGACGGUACCUAACCAGAAAGCCACGGCUAACUACGUGCCAGCAGCCGCGGUAAUACGUAGGUGGCAAGCGUUAUCCGGAAUUAUUGGGCGUAAAGCGCGCGCAGGCGGUUUCUUAAGUCUGAUGUGAAAGCCCACGGCUCAACCGUGGAGGGUCAUUGGAAACUGGGGAACUUGAGUGCAGAAGAGAAAAGCGGAAUUCCACGUGUAGCGGGUGAAAUGCGUAGAGAUGUGGGAGGAACACCAGUGGGCGAAGGCGGCUUUUUGGUCUUGUACUGACCGCUGAAGGCGCGAAAGCGGUGGGGGGAGCAAACAGGAUUAGAAUACCCUGGUAGUCCCCGCCGUAAACGAUGGGUGCUAGUGUUAGAAGGGUUUCCGCCCUUUAUUCGUGGAGCUACGCAUUAGCACUCCGCCUGGGGAGUACGUCGCAAACUGACUCAUGAUGACGGGUCCGCCAAGCGGGUGACAUGUGGAUUAUCCGAGCACCGGGACUACCAGCCUUGACUUCUCUGGACACACUUAAGAAUAUAAAG
rnacentral:rRNA from 1 species